GGGAAACGGGAAAGGGGGCCAGCCCCGGGCCCCCACACCCAAACAAAUUUACGGGGCG
rfam:Heterocephalus glaber contig17794, whole genome shotgun sequence.